rnacentral:tRNA from 1 species
GUGUGUAUAGCUUAGGUGAUAGAGCACAUGCUUAGGAAGCACAAGGUCCUGGGUUCAAUCCCCAGCACCUCCA